CGGAUUAAACAUAUAAUAUCUUGCAUUUUGUUCUUGUUGGGGGAAUUUAGACAGGAUAUCCCUGCAUGGUCUUUGGGCGCUUUCCAUUAGCACUGCCAGACCGGUCAAAACGGUCAAAUUGUUGAAUGAAACACAAAACAUUUGGGGUUCGGAUCUAUCUGACCGGAAAAUUUUGAUAACAUUAGAAUGAGGUCCAUUUUCGCUAGAUAUUUGAGAAAAAUAGACCAGAUCUUUCCAUUGACACA